UACGUAGGGGGCUAGCGUUGUCCGGAAUCAUUGGGCGUAAAGCGCGUGUAGGCGGUUCGGUAAGUCCGCUGUGAAAGUCGGGGGCUCAACCCUCGAAUGCCGGUGGAUACUGUCGAACUAGAGUGCGGAAGAGGCGAGUGGAAUUCCUGGUGUAGCGGUGAAAUGCGCAGAUAUCAGGAGGAACACCAAUUGCGAAGGCAGCUCGCUGGGACGUAACUGACGCUGAGGCGCGAAAGCGUGGGGAGCAAACAGG
rnacentral:rRNA from 1 species